UGACAAGUCUUGAAGGUCAUUGGCUACAUU
rnacentral:piRNA from 1 species